AAAUUGAAGAGUUUGAUCAUGGCUCAGAUUGAACGCUGGCGGCAGGCCUAACACAUGCAAGUCGAGCGGCAGCGGGGGGAAGCUUGCUUCCCCGCCGGCGAGCGGCGGACGGGUGAGUAAUGUCUGGGGAUCUGCCUGAUGGAGGGGGAUAACUACUGGAAACGGUAGCUAAUACCGCAUGACGUC
rnacentral:rRNA from 1 species